CAGUAGCCGCGGUAAAACGAAGGGGGCUAGCGUUGUUCGGAAUUACUGGGCGUAAAGCGCACGUAGGCGGAUCGAUCAGUCAGGGGUGAAAUCCCAGGGCUCAACCCUGGAACUGCCUUUGAUACUGUCGAUCUGGAGUAUGGAAGAGGUGAGUGGAAUUCCGAGUGUAGAGGUGAAAUUCGUAGAUAUUCGGAGGAACACCAGUGGCGAAGGCGGCUCACUGGUCCAUUACUGACGCUGAGGUGCGAAAGCGUGGGGAGCAAACAGGAUUAGAUACCCCCGUAGUCCCUGUCUCUUAUAC
rnacentral:rRNA from 1 species